rnacentral:tRNA from 1 species
GUCAAUAUGUCCGAGUGGUUAAGGAGAUUGACUCGAAAUCAAUUGGGCUCUGCCCGCGCAGGUUCGAAUCCUGCUGUUGACG